rfam:Schistosoma mansoni strain Puerto Rico chromosome 4, complete genome
AUCCAACUGAAGAGUCCCAAACAGGACGAAAAAUGAGCCCUAGAU